rnacentral:misc_RNA from 1 species
AAAAAUAUUCGGUCUCGUGCCAAAUUUACACCUGUGUGCACCAUUGUCUGUAUUUGGUAGCUCGAGCGCGCUCCGGAAGCUCAACACUUCCAUUAGGGGCGCCUACUCUUGCGGGUCACAUCCCGCUUGGGUUGGGCUACCGCCUUUUUUUUGAAAAACCUUUUUUGUUUUGUCUUUUUGUCUGAACGAAGAGUUGAUCUUAAUUGAUUAAUGAUUUGAAAA